UCUCAGUCAGGGAUCUUUGGGGGU
rnacentral:piRNA from 1 species